rnacentral:lncRNA from 1 species
AGACUGUGAUAUGUUUUAAUUCACAUUCUUGACCCAGCUGAUAUGAUCUGAGGCCCAAACUUGACACUGGAUGUCCUCCAGGUGCAAACUGGCAUCCUUCCACGAGGUGAGUGGGUGAAGGGCGGCCCUCCCUCAGUCCCAACCCUCUCUGUGGCACUCCUGCUGGGAGCAUCCAUGCUUGAGAAUACUCAGAGAGUCCAGGGGCUCCUGUCCUUGGCUGCCCUAGAACUCAAGCCUUACCCCCGUCUGAAGCUAAACCAGGUCAGGAUCUGAAACAAGGGGUCCAGGGGUAUAUUUGGCAAGAUGGGGCAGGGCGAGAACCCUAGGCCCAAACCCUGGCCAAAGAGCGGGUGUUUCAGCACCACGGAGAGGUCCAAGCUGCCCAGGUCAGUGGCAGUGACUUAGAACAAAGCAGCCCCAGGCGCCCACUCAGGCGCCAACAGAAACGCCUGUCAAUCAGCGGGAUCUCCUGACUAGCACCUGUCAAUCAGCAGGACCCCUGGCCAAUCCUGGCGUUCAGCCAACUCCCUGACCAACUCCAAUAGGACAAGGGACUCUAAAAACACCUUUUCCUGUCCCAAGCCCUUCGCUUCCUGCUGUAAGCCCCACAAAAGUCCAGUCCGGAGCCGCCACGCGGUUUCUCCUCAGACCCUCCUCCUGUCCACUCUGUGGGUCUGAUCGGGUUCCGCCCGGGAGUGAGUCUCAAUGAAGCCUCCUUUGGAGGCCUUUUUAAAUCGGCCUCCUUUGGCCGAUGCCCGCCUCGCCUGAUCUGACACUGAGGAACUGGGUUCUCUCCUCAGCUCCAUGUCUAGUGCCCCUGGCUUGGACCUUGCCCACGGGUGCCUUGUGGGCCCUGCCUGUCACAUUAGGUUUUUUCUCUUCUUUUUUAUUCUUCCUUGUGGUGCUGAGGACAAAACCAGCCCUUCACCUGUGCCAGGCUCUGCCCCAAGCCACACCCCAGGCUUGAAAAGCUCAGCUAUGCCCCCCACCCCUUUUGCAGUACUGGCAUUAUUGAACCCAGGGGCUCCCUACCACUGAGCCAUACCCCCAGUCCUUUUUAUUUUUUUAUUUUGAUACAGAGCCUCUCUUAAGUUAUUGGGGCUGGCCUCAAACUUGUGAUCCUUCUGCCUCAGCCUCCCAUAUGGCAGGGACAUCAGGAGUAUGCAUCUUGUCUGGCUGUUUGCACAUGUUUCUAUCUUUCCAAAAUUCCAUCUGCAGGUGACCUUGACCUUGGCCUAUGGAUCUGUAGUCCUCCCUCCCUGCCAACAGAGAUGCACCCAGGCUUCCUCUCUUGCAGAGGGGGAGCUCACUGUCUCCAGGAGGAAGCAAAUGAUGCAACAGGAACACAGCAAGAGGGAUCUCAGAGGGAUCCAGGUGACCCUGGACCCUCAUCUGCCAAGUUGGCUUUUGCAGCUCAGGUUCCUGUGCUGCCUCCAGGCGGUUACUGUGGGCAGUGGUGGUGGAGCACGUGUAAAUAAGGUCAUGGGCUUAAGCACCUUCACUUCACAGCAUCUGGCCUUAGUACCUCCGCGGAGGCUCAUCUCACCCACUGUUGAAAUGGGUUCACAUGUGCUAGGCAAGUGCUCUGCCAGGGAGCCACAAACCCAGCCCCGCGCCAGUUGUGUGUGUGUGUGUGUGUGUGUGUGUAUGUGUGUGGCUGGGGACUGAACCCAGGGCCUCGACAGGCUAGGUAAGAACUAUACCACUGGAUCUGGGUUUCAUGGUCUAGGCCCAGCCUGAUUUCCUUCUCUUCACAACACCUCCCAGAGCUCUCAGGGUCAACUCUCCCUGACAUACUAGUGGACUCCUGGGUUUUGCUUUUUGCUUUUGUUGUGGUUUGGGUCCUGGAGAUGGAACCCAAGUUGCACCUGUGCUGAGCUCCUGCUCUGUGUCGCUUGGCAGAGGGGAAACACCGAGUGUGUGACUACCCCUUUCUCCAACUCCACCCACGCCGAAGCCGAAGCCUCAACAGUGGGUCGAAGUGAGCCUCCACGGAGGUAUUUAUACCCGACGCCAGGGGACUGUGGGGACUUAGCAGCCCGUUCCAAGACCAGCUGUUGGGUGACAUCAACGACCUCUCCAGCCACCUCUCCACUGAAAAGGCCUGGAGCAACCCAGAGCUAGGGCCUAGGGUAGCAGGGCCCAGGGGCAGCCAUCCAUGUGAGCUGGCCUGUAGAGGACAGCAGCAGUGACGGUGACAAGUGCCUGAGGUAGCGCGUUGUAGCCUGCGUUGGCUACUACACCAGGUGUCACCUCAUCACACGGCAAGGACUUGGAAGUGGGAAGCCCAGUGCCUUCUUGGUGAGAGUUGGAGGAGUAGAGAAGUUUAAGAUGUGGGUUUGAACUUGGAAGCUGGGGCUGGUUCAGGGACCUCACUUCUCUGAAUGUGGGUUGUCAAGAGCAAAUGGAAACGAACGGCGCCAAUUUGUCACAGAUUUCAAAACAGAACUCCUGGGGGGGUGUGCCAUGAGCACUCGGGAGCGCUGGCGAGGUGACCCUGACUGGGCCCUCCGGAGCCACCAACGUCACCUUCCUCCACUCUUCCAGCCCCACCCCCCUGUCUCUGUGCCUGCACGGGCCAAGCCUCUUCUGUCCCUUCACUGUCCUGACCUCGGUCUGGACUAGUUUUCCCAAACUUCUCCUGGCCGGGACUUUGUCUUUCAGCUCUGCUCGUUGCCAAAACAGUCCACGGGGCGAUGCUUCCCGCGCCGCGGCCAGGCGGGUGGAGGCGCGGGCGGUGGAGGGCUGGACCCGGUGCGGGAAGGCCAGGGGGUUCGCAGGUGCGGCUCCUCCAGUCCCUCGGCCGGCGGGGGCCUGGCCCGGGCGGGGCUCUCUGCCGGCCUGGCUAUCGCUGCCCUCUGCUGGCUGCCGUGGGGGUUGCAGGCAGCCGCCGGCUCCGGUUUAGAAGGAAUCGGGUCUUU